UUCACGACAUGACGUGUAUAGUUAGGGAUAAAAUAAGAUUCUUACAUAAGCCUUCAAAAAACGUUUUAAGUAGAGAGUGUUUACGUUCUUAACAGAUACAGAACUACCUGUACAGUGUAAAUUUCAAAAAGUUCGUUUUUAACAAGUGUGAGUAUCGACAUGAGAGAAACAUGUUUUAUAUUUGGGUCUACGCCUUCCUGAUGUUAUGCACAGAGAAAUGUACGUCCUUCACAUUAUCAGCAGGACCGUCGUUAGCUGACCUGAC